rnacentral:rRNA from 1 species
GGCGAACGCUGGCGGCGUGCCUAAUACAUGCAAGUCGAGCGAAGUUUCUCUGGUUCUUUUAUUAAUAUCACUUAGUCGCGUACGGGAGAGUAACAUGUAACGAACCUGCCUCAUACACUGGUACAAUUUUUGGAUACGAUAGCUAAUCUCAUAUCACAUUAUUUCUCGCAUUGGAGGUUUUUCAUAGUUGCUUUUUCUAACUCUAUGAGAUUGCUUUGCGGUGCUUUAUCUUGUUGGUGGGGUAAAGGCACACCAAGGCGACGAUGCAUAGCCGAACUGAGAGGGUGAUCGGCCACACUGGGACUGAGACACGGCCCAGACUCCUACGGGAGGCAGCAGUAGGGAAUCUUCAGCAAUGGGCGAAAGCCUGACGGAGCAACGCCGCGUGAGUGAAGAAGGAGUUCGGUUCGUAAAGCUCUGUUGUUAGGGAAGAAUGGAUAUAUAGUAACUAUACAUGUAAGAGACGGUACCUAGCCAGAAAGCCACGGCUAACUACGUG